AGAGUUUGAUCAUGGCUCAGAACGAACGUUGGCGGCGUGCUUAAUACAUGCAAGUCGAGCGAGAAACGGUUCUUCGGAACCGGAGUAAAGCGGCGAAAGGGUGAGUAAUACAUAGAUAACGUACCCCUCGGCUCGGGAUAACCCCACGAAAGCGGGACUAAUACCGAAUAACGACGGAAGAGGACAUCCUCUUCUGUCCAAAGGAUUGCGAAAGCUUUCUUCCGGAGGAGCGGUCUAUUGCCUAUCAGCUAGUUGGUGGGGUAAUGGCCUACCAAAGCAAAGACGGGUAGCCGGACUGAGAGGUUGAACGGCCACAUGGGAACUGAGACACGGUCCCAACACCUACGGGUGGCAGCAGUAGGGAAUCUUGCACAAUGGGCGAAAGCCUGAUGCAGCGACGCCGCGUGGGGGAUGACGGCCUUCGGGUUGUAAACCCCUUUCAUGUGGGAAGAAUAAUGACUUAACCACAGGAAGAAGCACCGGCUAACUCAGUGCCAGCAGCUGCGGUAAUACUGAGGGUGCAAACGUUGUUCGGAUUCACUGGGCGUAAAGCGCGCGUAGGCGGUUCGGCAAAUCGGUUGUGAAAUCCUCCUGCCUAACGGGAGAAUUGCUGCCGAAAAUACCGGGCUAGAGGUUGUCAGGGGCAAGUGGAACUCUUGGUGGAGCGGUGGAAUGCGUAGAUAUCAAGAGGAACGCCGGAGGCGAAAGCGACUUGCUGGGGCAAUUCUGACGCUGAGGUGCGAAAGCUAGGGGAGCAAACAGGAUUAGAUACCCUGGUAGUCCUAGCCGUAAACGAUGCACACUAAGUGGAGGGGGGGUCAACCUUUCUCUGCUGCAGCUAACGCAUUAAGUGUGCCGCCUGGGGAGUACGGCCGCAAGGUUAAAACUCAAAUGAAUUGACGGGGGCUCACACAAGCGGUGGAGCAUGUGGUUUAAUUCGAUGCAACGCGAAGAACCUUACCCGGGCUUGAAGUGCUGGUAGUACGGAUCUGAAAAGUGAAGGACCCUUCGGGGAGCCAGCAUCAGGUGUUGCAUGGCUGUCGUCAGCUCGUGUCGUGAGAUGUCGGGUUAAGUCCCAUAACGAGCGAAACCCUUGUCAUUAGUUACCAGCACUUCGGGUGGGGACUCUAAUGAGACUGCCGGUGUUAAACCGGAGGAAGGUGGGGAUGACGUCAGGUCCUCAUGGCCUUUAUGACCAGGGCUGCACACGUCCUACAAUGCAGUGUACAG
rnacentral:rRNA from 1 species